rnacentral:lncRNA from 1 species
GCCUACAUGUCCACCACGUGGUCUGAGGCGAUGGUGCUGCUCCAGUCCAGAGACAGGCCCUCCUCCUCGUCUUUGUGGUCCAGGAAGUGGCCGGGGUCCACUGCUCAGCCUCAAGCUGGCAGCCUGGCCACCGGGCUGGCUGUUCUCCAUCUCCCGCUGGGCCCAGAAGUGGCUGAAGAACUUAUUCAGCUGGGGCAAGCACUCGGCCUGUCACACAGCCCUCUCCUUCACCGAGGGGUAGUAGACCUCCAUGUAGUUGUGGAUGAGCUGCAGGUGCAGUGACUCCAGCUUAAGCUUGGCCUCAAAGCUGCAGGCACUGCAGCCUCGGGAGAAGUUGACUGUGGCUGAAGAGCUUGGGGAAGAGCUGCACCAGCGGGCAGCAGGCCAGGACCCCGCCUGACAGGCUCUGGUCCAAGAUCUGCUUAAGCUCCAUGCCCGUGAGCUGCUACGGGGUGGUGGGGGUCGGCUGGAAUUUGGCCACCAUCUCAGUGGGGUUCACCUUCAGGGAGAGCAGGUCCACUUUGCUGUGUAGCUGGGACCUGUUGGACGUGAGGGUGUUGAGCAUGUAGAACAUCUCCUGGAUCAGGAAGUAGAUGUUAGGGUCACUGUUGGUGGCUGCCCCAGUGCUGCCACAGUCCCACUUCUAUGGCUCAUUCAGGAGCCUAAGCAGCGAGGGGCUGUUGCUGGAAUUUGCCUUCUGGAAGAGCUCAUACGUGUUUAGCAGGUCCCCCGAGGGAGGGUUCUUCUUCUCCAUGACCUUGUGGGAGAUGCCAUACAGAGGCUUCUUGUAGUAAGGGGUGGUGGCAUGGUUGCGGGGCUCCUCCUUGCCUGGCCACACAGAGCCCGAGCUCCUGCCUUGCCGGCCUGCUCUCCAUUGCCUUGGCAGGGCGAGCUGUUCUCGGGUUCCACAUGCCUGCUAGGAGCGCCUCUGGGAUCAGCUACCUCCUCUCCACGCUGGGGAUGGAGUCUGGCUGGCCAUUGCUGACCAGCUGAGUCCUGGAGGGCAGUAAAGACGCUGUCCAGAAGGUGCUUCUCAGAAGUCCUGGAAUUCACGGAGCAGCCUAGAGCAGCAUCUUUGGCCUCUGUCUCCACUCUCACUUCUUAGAAGUUCUUCUACAUCAAUUUUUUUUGGAGAUGGUUCUGACUCUGUCACCCAGGCUGGAGUGCAGCAGUUGCUCAGAGCUCACUGCAUCCUUGACCUCCCAGACUCAAAAGAGCCUAGCUACUUAGGAGUAGCUAGGACUACAGGCCACGGCCACCAUGCCUGGCUAAUCUUUUAAAUUUUUUGUAGAGGCAGAGGUCUCUCAUUGUGUUGCCCAGACAAGUCUCAAAUUCUCGGGCUCAAGUGUUCCUCCCAAAGUGCUGGGAUUAAUGGCGUGAGCCACUGUACCUGGCCAUAUUUUUUUUUUCAAAAAAUUCAUUUGUAGAGUUUAAAAAGUAUCUUUUGAUCAAGAGUUCUUAUUGUAUUUAUGUUUGCAAAUUUCAUUUCCCAUUCUGUUGCUUGCCUUUUCACUCUCAGUGAGUUAUUUUAUGAUUACAAAUCCUUAUUUUUUAUGUUAUUUUAUUACUAUUUAUUAACUUAUUUAUCUUAUUUAUUAGCCUUCAAUCGUUACUUUUUGAGUCUUUUUUAAAAUCUUAAGGUCAUAGAAGUGUCCUCUGUAUUACUUUUUAAAAACUGUACUGUUUUAUGUUACACAUUGGCUUCUAUAUGAAAUAAUUUUUGUGUAUGUUGUGAGGUUGGAUGUUAAUAUUCAUUUUUAUCUGUACCGAUGUAUGAAAGACAGCACAAUUUAUUGAAAAUGAAUCUUUUCCUCAUUGUACUGAAGCACUAUUUUUUUCACAAAUCAGCUAAAUAUAUUGUGUGGUUCUCUUUACGAGCUCUCUAUUCUGUUUCAUUGAAAUAUCUAUACUUGCACCUUUUCCAUAAUGUCAUAAUUAAUAUACAUUUAUAAAAACUUUAUAUCUAAUAGUGUAAGUCUUCACAUUAUAUUUUUUCUUCAAAGUUAUCUAUACACUGCAUUUUUAUUUGCAUUUUAUAGUCAGUUUUUCAGUUGCCACCAAAUAUAAUGCAGACAAAUUAUGCUAUUACUAAUCACAGUAUUGUGAUUUUCAGUGUAUUACA